rnacentral:lncRNA from 1 species
GAAUAGCUCCUCCUUGACCGAGGUGGUGUAGGACUUCGAGAAAGAGAACGGUAAUGGUGUCGUCUAUGGUAUCGAUCAGCCGGUGAAUCAUACCUCGAGUAAUAUGGUGAAUAGGACCUGUCAUGCCUCCUACCAUAUCGAUCUUCUGGUGAGUAGGAACGAUCCCGUCUUCUGCAGUACCGUUCGUCAGGCGAGUAGGAACGAUCCCACCUACGGUAGUAUCGGUCAUCUGGCGAGUAGCACCGAUCACGCCUUCUGUAGUACCGAUCAUCAGGAGAGUAGGAAUGGUCACGUCUUCUGUAGUAGCAGUCAUCUGGUGAUCUGCUGUGAGGGGAGCGAGAACGUGAGCAAGACCUGUGAGGAGGGGAAUACGAUCUGCUCCUACUCCUACCAGAUGAAUAACGAGGUGACCGACUCCGGCUC